GUAGGUGAACCUGCGGAAGGAUCAUUAUCGAGAGACGGGGUCUAACCGGCCCCACCUCUUCAUCCGUGUCUACAUACCAAUGUUGCUUUGGCGAGCCUCGGGCUUGUUCCGGGGAGUUCACGCUCCUUCGCCCGCCAAAGGCCCAUGCAAACCCUGUUAUCAGUGUCGUCCGAGUAAACAUAUAAUAAUUAAAACUUUCAACAACGGAUCUCUUGGUUCUG
rnacentral:misc_RNA from 1 species